UUCUGAGCAAUGUUUCAUUUCCUCUUGCAACAUAACUAGCUGCAGCUUUAACUCAGUCAUGACACAAAUGGAAACUAGGCACCACCGCACAGAGUUGUCAAUGUUAUGAAACAAGAACAUAUGUUUGGCAUGAGUUAAAUAGUGCAGUGAGUAAUAAUGCAGUCAUUUACAUAUCCCAUAAGUGUCUUCCUAUUUUAUCUAUCAUUGAAGGAGGACACUCCUUCAAGCGAAACAGGUUUUAGUUGGAAGAACACUUUUUCAAAAGCUCCCAGACAUAGCAUAUACAGCCUUAUUUGACUCGGGAAUAGGACAAUGAACACCAUUUGGCACAAUAAGUAACUUACUGAAGGAUUCAUGUCAACAAGACUUUAAGUUUGGAGAAGAGAACCUCCCCAAGACCCAGAGUGAGGAACAGCAUGAGAAGAAUCAAGAUGCCAGCCCCUCUGAGGGUCAGAAUCAUAAUAAUUGCCAUCCUCACCAACCUCUAACGAUGCCACAACAAUGUAAAGAAGACCAAUCUGGCACCAAGACAGAGGUGUAUUAUGAAAAACAUUUUCUUCCUUGGAAAUGGAACAUCACAGCCUUAAUUCAGAACAACCACAUGGAAUCAACUGUGCCUGUAAAUAGCACGGUGGUCCCAUUUCAGGCUGGGGUGGCGGGUGUGGAUAUACAUCCUCAUCUAGGCUUCAUCUCAAUAGGAUCAUCUCCAGACUGUGUUCAGGCAGCUCUACCUCAUACCGAUGGCUCUUCCUCACAGCAUUCACCUCAACACCAGCUUCUUCAAUGAUGGUAGGGUUUCACAAUAGUGAGGGAACAAAAGCACAACCAUACCUUCAAUCAAGCAAGGUAUCUAGUUAUAUCUCAAACAGAAUGGAGGCACACAGAGCAGCAACAUUAGUAAAUAUAUUUAUAUUACAUAACGUACACAAGAAUCCCCAAGUGUGAAUUCACAGCCACCGAUAAAUGAAAUGAUACCAUGCAGAAAGCACACCAUCAUUUUACGACUGAUCUAUCAUAGAUCUAAAACUGAGAUUAAACUGUGGUGGUGUUUCCCAAAUGAGUCACUCUCAGUCAGAUAUAAUCAUCUGUCAUUUCAUGAGUGCUUCUAACCUGUUCUGUCCUGUUGUUGCAGCAGUCAUAACAUCAGGUAUGAAAAGCUCCAGUAGCCUUGGAAGAAGAGAUUAAGUGAAGGAAGAGGCUGCUUAUGAAAACAUUUCUGCUGCUAUUUUCUGCUGCUUUUAAGAUGUAUGUAUGUAUGUAUGUAUGUAUGUAUGUAUGCAUGUAUGCAUGUGUGUGUGUGUGUGUGUGUAUAAG